AACGAACGCUGGCGGCAGGCUUAACACAUGCAAGUCGAACGCCCCGCAAGGGGAGUGGCAGACGGGUGAGUAACGCGUGGGAAUCUACCAAGUUCUACGGAACAACUGAGGGAAACUUCAGCUAAUACCGUAUACGCCCUACGGGGGAAAGAUUUAUCGGAAUUGGAUGAGCCCGCGUUGGAUUAGCUAGUUGGUGAGGUAACGGCUCACCAAGGCGACGAUCCAUAGCUGGUCUGAGAGGAUGAUCAGCCACACUGGGACUGAGACACGGCCCAGACUCCUACGGGAGGCAGCAGUGGGGAAUAUUGGACAAUGGGCGCAAGCCUGAUCCAGCCAUGCCGCGUGAGUGAUGAAGGCCUUAGGGUUGUAAAGCUCUUUCAGUGGGGACGAUAGUGACGGUACCCACAGAAGAAGCCCCGGCUAACUUCGUGCCAGCCGCCGCCGUAACAC
rnacentral:rRNA from 1 species